rnacentral:lncRNA from 1 species
GCGAGCCGGCGGUAUGGUCUCCACCAUUCUUUCCGUGUCACGGAUGGCUUUCGUCUGGAGAGCAACAAGUAAGGCAGUCCGCCCGGGAUCCGGAGAGUUGGGGGCCCGCUGAGGAAGCCGAGUUCCGAAAUGCGAGGGCGCAGGCUCAGAGACCGGGCCGGCCGCGGUGGCUGCAGAAGCAUUCGCGGUGCUUGGCGUAGGGGCAGGUGGUUUUCGAGAAGCGCCCGGCUCUUAGGAUCAUCUCUUCUGAAUCACUCUUUGAGGAAAAAGAGUUCUCAAGAAGGAAAGCCUGAGCCUUCAAAGCAAGCCCUUAAGAAAUCAAAGCUGCCAGUUGGUCGUUUUGACUCACUGGACGAUUCACCAGAGGAGAGAGACCCACUGCAGAAGUUUCCAGAUGAUGUCAAUCCAGUUACCAAAGAAAAAGGUGGACCCAGGGGCCCAGAGCCUACACGAUACGGAGACUGGGAACGGAAAGGACGCUGUAUUGACUUUUAAGUCACGCCGUCUCGGGACUGCAGAGUCAUUUCCUGAAUUACUUACUUCAUGUUGUUUUCUGUAUCCUCUAAGUGUGAUAUUUCCAUCGUAUGUCUUAAAAUGCACGUGGUAGCUUCGAGGAGCAAAGGCUGCUUAUAGAUCAGGAACAUGGAAACAUUUUUCCAUUAGUGUGUUAACUUCAACUUAAACAUGUCAGGGCAGAGAGCCUGUGAUGAGAGCUGCAAGCCUUUGCAGUGAUUUUUUAUCAUCAUCAUCAUCAUCAUUAUUAUUAUUAUUAUUAUUAUUAUUUAAUCAGUUGCUUAUAAAAUACACAUGUUAAUAAAUACCUCUUGUUAG